rnacentral:lncRNA from 1 species
CCCCCGGUUGUAAGCAUUCCAUUCCGAUCAAAUCAAGGCAACAAGCCACUUCAAUUUCCUCCUCUGCUCAAGUAGUACUCCAGUAUCUCGUGUGUGUGUCUUGAGCUGCACUAGUGAGUGCGUGUGUUACUAGUGAGUUGAGUGCAAAUACUACCAUUAGAUAGCCACGACUCUCUUGUCGCAGUAGUUCUGGGCUAACAAUUGGUAUCAUAGCCUCAGGUUAUGCCGAAGCAUAUGCCGAAGGAAGGCGUCGCCGGCGAUGGCUCCAAGACCGCCGGGCAGAGCUCGGUUGAGGAGGCGCGUGCGGCGGACGCGCUUGCGCUGUGAGGCAGGCUAGGAGGGGAGUUGGGUGCGCCACGUUCCGUGCGAGACGUGGGCAUGUCCAGCACCUCCUUCCCUCUCCUCACGCGGACCAACUGGGGUAGUUGGUCUAAGGAAGUAGUAUAGGUCAGCAGUGACGUGGUGUUUUGGAAUGACGUAAGAGCUUAGCUCAUUUAGAACAGUAGGUCGGUUCAAACUGCUAUAUAAGCAGCACCACACCCCCCCGGUUGUAAGCAUUCCAUUCCGAUCAAAUCAAGGCAACAAGCCACUUCAGUUUCCUCCUCUGCUCAAGUAGUACUCCAGUAUCUCGUGUGUGUGUCUUGAGCUGCACUAGUGAGUGUGUGUGUUACUAGUGAGCUGAGUGAAAAUACUACCAUUAGAUAGCCACGACUCUCUGGUCGCAGUAGUUCUGGGCUAACAAUUGGUAUCAGAGCUUCAGGUUGUGCCGAAGCAUAUGCCGAAGGAAGGCGUCACCGGCGAUGGCUCCAAGACCACCGGGCAGAGCUCGACUGAGGAGGCGCGUGCGGCGGACGCGCUUGCGCUGCGAGGCAGGCUAGGAGGGGAGUUGGGUUCGCCACGCUCCGUGCGAGACGUGGGCAUGUCCAACACCUCCUUCCCUCUCCUCACCCGCACCAACUGGGGUAGUUGGUCUAAGGAAGUAGUAUAGGUCAGCAAUGACGUGGUGUUUUGGAAUGACGUAAGAGCUUAGCUCAUUUAGAACAGUAGGUCGGUUCAAACUGCUAUAUAAGCAGCAGCACAACCCCCCGGUUGGAAGCAUUCCAUUCCGAUCAAAUCAAGGCAACAAGCCACUUCAGUUUCCUCCUCUGCUCAAGUAGUACUCCAGUAUCUCGUGUGUGUGUCUUGAGCUGCACUAGUGAGUGCGCGUGUUACUAGUGAGCUGAGUGCAAAUACUACCAUUAGAUAGCCACGACUCUCUGGUCGCAGUAGUUCUGGGCUAACAAUUGGCAUCAGAGCCUCAAGUUAUGACAAAGCAUAUGCCGAAGGAAGGCGUCGCCGGUGACGGCUCGAAGACCGCCGGGUAGAGCUUGGCUGAGGAGGCACAUGCAGCGGACGCGCUUGCGCUGCGAGGCAGGCUAGGAGGGGAGUUGGGUGCGCCACGCUCCGUGCGAGACGUGGGCAUGUACAACACCUCCUUCCCUCUCCUCACCCUCACCAACUACCCCAGUUGGUCGGUCAUGAUGAAAGUCAUCAUGGAGGCGCGACAUAUGUGGAAAGCUGUGGAUACCGACGAUGUCGAGUACGAGGAGGACCGGUUGGCAAUGGAGGCAAUCUUGUGCUCCGUCCCACCGGAGAUGGUGCUCACCCUUGGCGCCAAGGAGACGGCCAAGGAAGCAUGGGACACCAUCAAGACUCUGCGUAUCGGCAUGGAGCGCGUACGGGAGUCGAAGGCCCAGACCUUGCGCCUCCAGUACGAGGAGAUCCGGUUCAAGGCCGGUGAACAAGUCGACGACUUCGCCUUGCGGCUGCAAGGUCUCAUCAACGAGCUCGCAACGCUCGGAGGUCACAUCGACAACAAGAUGGUGAUUCUCAAGUUCCUCCGCGUCGUCCCCAGGCAGUACAAGCAACUGGCCUGGUCCAUCGAGAGUUUGGUGGAUCUUCCACCAUGAUGAUCGAGGAGCUGGUAGGGCGGCUCAAGGUCGUAGAGGAUCGCGGCGACGAAGCCAACAACCGUGCUGGCGGCGAACUACUGCUCACCAGGGAGCAGUGGGAAGCACAUCUUCAGCAGCGCGGCCGCGACGACUCUUCCGGCAGUGGGGGAGGCGCCCCCACGGGAAGCAGAGGUCAUGGCAGAGGCGGAGGCCGCGCCCAGAGCGGUGGCGGAAACCGCGGUCGCAAGCCAAGCCGGGCAGGGCGAGGCGCUGGCAACGGGGGCAAGUGCCGCUACUGCGACAUGCCAGGCCACUGGAUCAGGGAUUGCCACAGGAGGAAAGCCGACGAGGCAGCCGCGACAACGGCAAACCUCGUCCAGGAUGACAUGGACGGCGGGCCGACAAUGAUGCUGGCAAGAGUCGAGCCCGUGCAGGAGAGCUCAGCGUCUCUCGUGACCACGACACCGACCACCACCCAUUCCGUGCAGGAGGCACGGAGCCCGUCCAUGGGAACCAUCACUCCAGUGACAGGCCACACCUCGACAACGAUGUUCUCGGGGCCUGUCGACUGGGAGGCGAUGAAGGCCCGGGUGUGGGGGAGCCACACCCCGGCAAUGGCGUCCCCGACAAGCUCGGGGCCCAACGAUGUCACGCAAGUUGGCGCGGCAACGAUGCAUAUGGCGGACCAUGCUCCGACCAUGAUGCUGGCGACCAUCGACUCCAUGCAGGAGCGCACGGAGAAUCAGGUUACCCACACCCCGACGACGAGUUGUUCGGGGUCUACUGCAUUGGCGGGAGAUGGCUCCCGAACAACGGCAUGUGCGUGCGGCUUCAUCUUCCUCAACGAGGAGAGAGCCGUGACCACACCCACACUUGCAGGCGGCAAGCAAAGUGAGGGUUGGUUCCUCGACACCGGCGCCACGAACCACUUGACUGGUUCGGUCGACGCGUUCGCGGAGCUGGACUGUUCAAUCACCGGGAAGGUGCGGUUCGUGGAUGGGUCCGUGGUGGAGAUCCACGGGCGCGGGACCGUUGCCUUCGCCGACAAAGGGGGUGAUCACAGGGCGUUCACGGACGUCUACUUCAUCUCGGCGCUCAAGAGCAGCGUCGUGAGUGUCGGACAGCUCGACGAGGGCUGGUUUGACAUCGGCAUCCGGCAUGGUGUUCUCACCGUGCGCGACCAGUAGAAGAGGCUGCUUAUCGAGGUAACCCGCUCGCCAAACCGCCUCUAUAAAUUCUUCUUUCAACCCGUGCAUCCUGUGUGCCUUGCCAUGGGUCAUGUCUCCGAUGCGUGGCAUUGGCAUGCCAGGCUAGGACACCAGCACUUCGACGGGUUGCGGAAGAUGGCGCGGGGCAACCUCGUUCGUGGGCUACCUCACAUCAAGCACGCCGACGAGUUGUGUGAUGCGUGUCUUGCCGGGAAGCAGCGACGCCUGCCCUUCCCGGAAAAGGCACGCUAUCGGGCGCAGUAACCCCUGGAGCUGGUUCAUGGGGACCUCUGCGGCCCAAUCACCCCGGCAAUGCCAGGAGGGCGUCGCUACACCUUGCUUCUCGUCGACGACUAUAGAAGGUUCAUGUGGGUGAUGCUACUCGCCUCCAAGGAUGAGGCCGAGCGAGCCAUCGUCAAGAAGCAAGCGGCAGCAGAGGUCGAGUGCAGCCACAAGCUGCGCGUGCUACGCACAGACUGUAGCAGCGAGUUUACGUCGGCCACGUUCUACAAGCACUGCGACGAGAAAGGGGUGCAACAUCACCUCACAACUCCUUACUCGCCGCAACAGAAUGGCGUCGUCGAGCGGAGGAACCAGACAGUGCUCGGGAUGGCACGCUGCAUGCUCAAGGCAAAGCAGGUGCCGAGCAUGUAUUGGGGGGAGGCCGUGCUGACGGCCGUCUUCAUCCUCAACCGCUCCUUCACAAGGAGCGUCGACGGCAAGACGCCUUACGAGGCGUGGUAUGGGAGGAAGCCUGAUGUACGCUUCCUUCGUACCUUUGGCUGCGUCGGGCACGUCAAGACGACGCGCCCACAGCUGAAGAAGCUCGACGACAGGAGCACCCCAAUGGUGUUCAUGGGCUACGAGACAGGCUCUAAGGCGUAAAAGAUGUAUGACUCCGUCUCAAAGCGUGUGCAUGUCUCUCGUGAUGUCAUCUUCGACAAAUACGCGCGAUGGACUUGGGAGGCGUCGGGGGAGGCCCCGGCAAGCAGCUCCUUUACCGUGGAGUACCUGAUGUACUCUACGACCCCGGGAAGCAAGACCCCGGGAAGUGCCACCCCGGGAAGCUCGGGAGGUGUGGAUCCGGGAACAGCAACCCCGAGAACACCGUCCCCGGGUACGGUGUCGCAGGACACCAUAACGUCAAGCAAGGUGGGUCCCGGGAGGCAGUUCGCAACCCCGCCAACGGCAAGGUCGGAGCUGUUCGACGCCGACGACAGCGUUGGCGCCCCCCAUAGGUUUUGGCGCAUGGGGGAUCUCCUCGGCGAGGCUGCGGCAACACCGCAACAGCCCGAGGAUGAGGACGCUGAUGACGACGAGGUCCUUCAUCUGAUGGCCGGCGAGGAGCUGACCACGUUCGCGGAGGCCGAGCAAGAGGAUUGAUGGAGCCACGCGUUGCUGGAUGAGCUGUCGUCGAUCAACGACAACGCCACUUGGACACUCACCACACUGCAAGAGAACCAAAUGUUUCAAAAGCAAGAGUUGUAAGCACGAAGCAAAAUAUAAUGCAACCGCCCAUAUGAACCCGCUUGAAGACUAUCAACUCAUACGCUUCUCCCCCUUUUGUCAGUAAGAACCAAAAAGGUUUGAAGACAUAGAGCAUCUACUCGACCUCAUGAGUAGGUGAAGCAGCAGGGUUGUCGUUGUUGAUUGGCGGUGCAGAUGAACUCGGUGCAGUGUCGAUGCACGCAGUAGUAGGAGGUGGUGAAGUAGCAUCAUCUUCAUCAUCGAUCACUCUGGCAUUUACCGUUGCCGCGGAGGAAGAAUAUUCAGAGUCUUCAAGAGAUGGAGUACGACGUAGGACAUCAGUCCGUGGAGGAGUGGAGUCAAACUGGAAUCUUUUAUUGAAGCCAUCGUCUUGAAGAUCUGCUUCAGCACUAAGCAGGGUCAAACUCUUCCAUGAUCGCCGGCAAGUUUCAUGAGCAACAAAGGCAUUCUUGGUGGCAAGGUUGCGAAUGCGAUUGACAUCCACCAAGAGGCUUUGCAUCUGUCUCUUGAGCCAAAAAUGAUGCUUAUCUUGUUUCUUAUGAAGGGCCACAAGAAGUUCACGGUCAUUGAGAACGCGAGAACGCUUCCGAGGCCUUUGUGCAAUGGUGCUUUCAGUGGCUUCAAUUUGUGCUCGAUGAGGCAGACGAGUAUUUCCAGCCAAGGGAUAGAUUCGUGUCGCUGCUUGAACACCUUCAAUGGGUUGAGUGAAGCUUUGGUGUUCGGCAUUCUGAAGACAAAGAGGCCUCUUGGUAGGGUCAGAGUAUAUAGCUUCAACGGACAUAUCAACCUCUGGCAAAAAGAUCAUAUGAUUGCGAGUAGAGGGCUGAUAGUUGACAGAUGAGUGUCUCUUGAUGAGGUGCAUGACCCAUGGAGCAUAAAACUUCAGACCAAAUAGGUCAGAGCCAGAAGCAGCAAGUUGCCUGAUGAAGAAUUCUUGAGUGUUGAAGCUGAUGCCAUUGAGAAUAUAGAAGACCAAAGUCUUCAUAGCUCCUUCAAGCUUGGCCGCUGAUGAAUGUCCUUUGACAGGCCAUAGAGUUCGCCUGAUGAUAUGAUAUAUGGUGCGAGGAAGAUACUCAAGGUCUUCAACAAAGAACUCUGUUGGAUAUGCAGCGUCAGAUGGCAAGGGCUUCAUCAUGCUCAACAUCUGGCUCAUAUUGGGUUCUGGCUUAUGGAAGAUACUCUCCACUGCAUUGUUGUGUAGCUGACAGUCAGGUUCAUAUAGUUCUCCAGGAGUGGCUAGCCCUGUGAGCUCGAUGAUAUCCAUAGCUUUGGCUUCAUGAUGAACAUUUCCAGUCAUCCACUCGAGAACCCAUGUCUUGAUGUCUCUGUAGUAGCCGUGAAUGUGUAGAGUAGCAUAGAAUUGAAGUAGUAGCUCUUCAUUCCAAUGUUCUUUGUCUGUCACGAAGUGGAGCAGACCAGCAUCACGAAAGCAAUCAAGUGCUUCUUCUAAGCACAGCAGUCUAGCAAUGGCUUCAGUGUCAAGGCGCAUAUGAGGGAAAAUGCGCCCUUGAUCAUAUAGAACGCAGGAGUAAUAGCUUCUCUGCUGAUAGCUCCAGAACCGAUCUAAUGAUAUUCUUGGUUUGGAGUAGGGGUUCUUGGCACUGUCAAAGAAGGUAUUGUGGCUUUUGAAGCCAUUUACAUUGAAGGACCCUGGUGAGUUUGCAAUACCUGGAAACCUUGGCAGCCUAGGCUUUGGCUUCUGGACCUGAGGCCUAUGCUCAACAUGAUAGUCAAAUUGAGGUCCAGAGGCAGUAGGCGGAGGUACCAGAAUGGGCCAUCGGACAGUGGUUAGCUGACCAUGACUGUAUGCUUGCUCAAUUGUAUGGGGCCUUGGUGGCGGAACAGGAGCAGGGGCAACAGCUGAGGCGUCAGGCUGCACAACAGGUGCUUCGGGAGCAGUUGUCUCAUUAGCUUCAGGUGCAGUAGCCUCAUUGGUUUCAGGUUCAGUGGCCACAUUUGCUUCAGGCACACUGGUUGGUGCAGGCUCCAUAUUAGCAUCAGCCAUGAAUACGUCAUUGGCUUCAUUGGCAUUGGCGGCGGUAGCUCCAACAUUUUCAACCUCCUCUUGACGAACAGGAGGGUCGGGCACAGGCACGUUCACAUCAGGAACCGCUUCUUCAAUUACUGGGGGAGUAGGAACACGUACUUCUUCUUGAUUUUUCUCGGCUGAUGCAGCCGGAAUGUCUUUAGCAGCUUGUGCUUCAGACUCGGAGACAUUCACAGUUGGAGUAGGUUCAGAAAAGACUUGACGAGCAACAGGUGAACGUUGCACUUCUCCUUCUGGAACGCUCAACAGAGGGACUUGAGGCCUUUGUCCUUUGCGAAGCCUGCAAAAUGCUGUCAACGCCUUAGGAGAUGGAGAUGGCUGGGCCUCAAAGUCUUCAUCCUCUUCUUGUACGGGGGGUGUAGCUUGUUGUUGUUGUUGGGGAGUAUGGGGGGGAGUCUUGUAGCUGUGGGUGAUCAGCCCUCGAUGCAUCCUGAGCAAUUGGCGUCAGAGGGCGACCAAUGCUGAUGAGUUCGCUGUUCGUAUGAACAGGCGAUGAUACCACAUCAUGUUCGAUCUGAGGAAGAACUUCAUCAUCUGCUACAUUGUCAUCAUGACCAAUGUCUUCAGCAGCGGUGGGUUCAACUGCUGGAAUAUCUUCAGCUUCAUGAGCCUCUGUGGGAGCAGGCUCAUGGACUAUCAUCCUUCGUUCUUGAUGUUCUGACGCUGGGCGAACCACUGAAAUGGGUUCAACAACUAAGGGCUCUGUGGAAGCAGCCCUAGUCUUCUUGGUCUUGCGCUUCUUCUUGGAGGGAGCGGCAUCAGAGGCUUCAGUAUUCUUUCUCUUUCUGGCUUCAGCCUCGGCAGCCCUCGUCUUCUUCUGUUCUGAAGCGGUUGUGGUGACCUUUGGCUUCGAGCCAGUCAUGCUGCUUGGGAAGAUAAUGCGAGGGGCUUCUUGGCUUGAAGGUUCAGGCUGGUCAGCAGGAAGCUUCUUCUUUUUCUUUGCAGCCAUCCUGGGGUCAAUGCCAGGACGGCUAAGUGACUUCCGCUUCUUAGCCUCAUUGUAGGCGAGCACACACUUAUCAGCCAAACUCUUCAUGCGCUCUUGAGAGCCCUAAGCUUCUUCACGCUUCUUCAGAAAAGCUUCUUUAAGCUCAUGUAGCAUGACUUUGAAGUUUCUGACGUCUUGAACACUUAGCUUGGCCACAUGCUUCUUGAAUUGAGCCUUCUCAUAAUCAAUCUUGUUUUUGAGCUCAACGAUGCGCUGAGCGAGAGCUAGCUCAGAAGCAAUGGCACCAUUGAAGGCGACACUGAGGCCAAUGGGAAGCUGCAAAUCUUCAAAGCUAAGAUUGGGGGUGUCGAACCACUCAUCAAUGAAGUUGUGGAUGAUUGCCACAUCAAAGAUAGGCAAGUUGUUGAAGAUUUCUGCUUCUUCCUUGCUCUUUAUCAGCUGCUCAAGGGCAUCAUCAGCAAGAUCUUCAUCACUUGACAGAUCAAUGGGUUCUUCGCGCAGAAUGGCGGCAGGAGUCAAGGCUUGAUUAGUUGGUCUGACAAGUUGCUUUUUCUUCUCCGUUCUCUUGGAGACACGAGAUUGGUCUUCAGACUGCACACUGGCUUCAGGAGGUGCAGUUUCCAGUGGCUUCGCACGGGAAGUCUUCGGAGGUGCAACUGAUCUUGAAGCCUUUGGCUUCUUUUGCUUCUGCGGCUUUGGAGGAGGAGCUGGGGCUUCAUCGGAGUCAGCAUCAUUUUCAGAAUGAUCUACUAUGGCACCUUGGACCACGAUGUAGGUGAUGAGGCCGUCAAGGUUGGAUAAGGGGCCGAUAACAUUGGGAUCAACAUCACGGGAGCCGUCAGCACGGGGAGCAGAGGGACCUGGGUUGAAGUCCAAUCCAAAUGACUUCUUGUUCUUCUUGGCCGAAGCCACAGCAAACUGGAAGUUGCGCUUGAAGAGAGAGUCGUCACGACACCAGAGUAGCGAAGUGGGAUCGGGCGUUCUCAGGCUGUGGUCCAUGGACCAUGCAAGGAUAGAAGCCUUGAGCAAUGGCUUCAGCUCUGUUCUUGGGUUGAAGGCCUCGAUAGAGGAUAUCACCCCAUGGUCUCUUGAUGGCAUUCUUCUCUGCAUAUUCCUUUGUCACAAACUUGUACUUAAACCAUUCCUCAGCCCAAUAGCGUCGAAUCCAUUGGAUUCGUGUCUUUCUCUGAUGAUAAUUCUCUUCGGGAUCUGUCUUGUAGAGUUCUGCUAGGUCAUCAGGCAGAUCUUUGGACGUUCCUUCUCUGCACUGUCUGCCACCCUUCCUUGCUGAUUUUUCUGCAGCCAUGAACUUCAAACUGAAUGGCUUCAAUACGUUCAAAGGCUUCACAGACUUACGCUUGCUGGUCAAGCAGGAACUGGCUUCGGGAGAAUUGAUAUGAUGCUGUAAGUAUUCUGCAAACGAAUGCAGACUAUGAGAACCAAGGGAUUCUCCCACGGACAUGUACCUGUGACAGCAUUAGAGAUGCGAGGGAAGGGGAAGAGGUCAUAUGCAUUCCCAGAAGAUUUUGAAGAUAAAUCAGUUUGAAGACAUUGACCUCAUGAUGCGAAGACAUUUACUUAUAUAGGUGAGUUGGUUCCAGAUUUGUACCAAUCCGUGAAUAAGUACAAGUGAGGAAUCAAACUAGACAGGAAAUCUAAGUGAAUUGACUAGGAAGUAUGAGAUGCAGACAGAAUAGAUCUAACAUUGAAUAGGCAGAAACCACUUUCGGUAAACAGGAUGAAUCUUGAAGAUCGAAAAAGUGGUAAAAAUAGAGUUAUAAUUACCGCACGAAGAACUGCUAGAUGGGAUGAAUAGGAGACCGAGCAGUUCAGCCCACUGUGCCCUAACUUGGCGACGGAGGACACCUACGGCGACGGCGGAGAGGACGAUGUCCGCGGCCGGUGUGAGGACGGCGUCGGAGAAGUCGCGGCAGCUAAGCGCUUCGUCGCCGACGUCGUCGAGAGCUAGCAGUGGCGCUAGGGUUUUGACGGAGGUGGAGAGUUCCGGCUUCCCGGAUUUCAACAAUAAAGAUAGGUCAUUUAAAANNNNNNNNNNNNNNNNNNNNNNNNNNNNNNNNNNNNNNNNNNNNNNNNNNNNNNNNNNNNNNNNNNNNNNNNNNNNNNNNNNNNNNNNNNNNNNNNNNNNGGCUAACAAUUGGUAUCAUAGCCUCAGGUUAUGCCGAAGCAUAUGCCGAAGGAAGGCGUCGCCGGCGAUGGCUCCAAGACCGCCGGGCAGAGCUCGGUUGAGGAGGCGCGUGCGGCGGACGCGCUUGCGCUGUGAGGCAGGCUAGGAGGGGAGUUGGGUGCGCCACGUUCCGUGCGAGACGUGGGCAUGUCCAGCACCUCCUUCCCUCUCCUCACGCGGACCAACUGGGGUAGUUGGUCUAAGGAAGUAGUAUAGGUCAGCAGUGACGUGGUGUUUUGGAAUGACGUAAGAGCUUAGCUCAUUUAGAACAGUAGGUCGGUUCAAACUGCUAUAUAAGCAGCACCACACCCCCCCGGUUGUAAGCAUUCCAUUCCGAUCAAAUCAAGGCAACAAGCCACUUCAGUUUCCUCCUCUGCUCAAGUAGUACUCCAGUAUCUCGUGUGUGUGUCUUGAGCUGCACUAGUGAGUGUGUGUGUUACUAGUGAGCUGAGUGAAAAUACUACCAUUAGAUAGCCACGACUCUCUGGUCGCAGUAGUUCUGGGCUAACAAUUGGUAUCAGAGCUUCAGGUUGUGCCGAAGCAUAUGCCGAAGGAAG